rnacentral:rRNA from 1 species
UGGGGAAUAUUGCACAAUGGAGGGAACUCUGAUGCAGCGACGCCGCGUGAACGAAGAAGGCUUUCGAGUCGUAAAGUUCUUUUAUAUGGGAAGAUAAUGACGGUACCAUAGGAAAAAGCCCCGGCUAACUACGUGCCAGCAGCCGCGGUAAUACGUAGGGGGCUAGCGUUGUCCGGAAUCACUGGGCGUAAAGGGUUCGCAGGCGGAAAUGCAAGUCAGGUGUAAAAGGCAGUAGCUUAACUACUGUAAGCAUUUGAAACUGCAUAUCUUGAGAAGAGUAGAGGUAAGUGGAAUUUUUAGUGUAGCGGUGAAAUGCGUAGAUAUUAAAAAGAAUACCGGUGGCGAAGGCGACUUACUGGGCUCAUUCUGACGCUGAGGAACGAAAGCGUGGGUAGCAAACAGG